ACGGAGGGUGCAAGCGUUAUCCGGAUUUAUUGGGUUUAAAGGGUGCGUAGGCGGUAAGAUAAGUCAGUGGUGAAAAGCUGCAGCUCAACUGUAGUCGUGCCAUUGAAACUGUUAUACUUGAGUAACCAUGAGGUAGGCGGAAUGUGUAGUGUAGCGGUGAAAUGCUUAGAUAUUACACAGAACACCGAUUGCGUAGGCAGCUUACUAGCGGUUUACUGACGCUGAUGCACGAAAGCGUGGGGAUCAAACAGGAUUAGAUACCCUGGUAGUCCACGCCGUAAACGAUGAUAACUCGCUGUUGGCGAUACACAGUCAGCGGCUUAGCGAAAGCGUUAAGUUAUCCACCUGGGGAGUACGCUCGCAAGAGUG
rnacentral:rRNA from 1 species